rnacentral:rRNA from 1 species
GUGACCUGCGGAAGGAUUUAAAUUGAAUUCACUAUGGAGUUGUUGCUGGCCUCUAGGGGCAUGUGCACGCUUCACUAGUCUUUCAACCACCUGUGAACUUUUGAUAGAUCUGUGAAGUCGUCUCUCAAGUCGGCAUCAGACUUGGUUGCUGGGAUUUAAACGUCUCGGUGUGACUACGCAGUCUAUUUACUUACCACACCCCAAAUGUAUGUCUACGAAUGUUAUUUAAUGGGCCUUGUGCCUUUAAACCAUAAUACAACUUUCAACAACGGAUCUCUUGGCUCUCGCAUCGAUGAAGAACGCAGCGAAAUGCGAUAAGUAAUGUGAAUUGCAGAAUUCAGUGAAUCAUCGAAUCUUUGAACGCACCUUGCGCCCCUUGGUAUUCCGAGGGGCAUGCCUGUUUGAGUGUCAUUAAAUUCUCAAACUCACUUUGGUUUCUUUCCAAUUGUGAUGUUUGGAUUGUUGGGGGCUGCUGGCCUUGACAGGUCGGCUCCUCUUAAAUGCAUUAGCAGGACUUCUCAUUGCCUCUGCGCAUGAUGUGAUAAUUAUCACUCAUCAAUAGCACGCAUGAAUAGAGUCCAGCUCUCUAAUCGUCCGCAAGGACAAUUUGACAAUUUGACCUCAAAUCAGGUAGGACUACCCGCUGAACUUAAGCAUAUCAAUAAGCGGAGGAAAAGAAACUAACAAGGAUUCCCCUAGUAACUGCGAGUGAAGCGGGAAAAGCUCAAAUUUAAAAUCUGGUGGUCUUUGGCCAUCCGAGUUGUAAUCUAGAGAAGUGUUAUCCGCGCUGGACCGUGAAAAAUUUCUCCACAGAAAGAAUUUGUGA